GACUAGUGUUGAAGUUAAAAAAGUUAAACCACUGGUGAUUUCUGAUAAAAAUAUACUUUUAGUUAAAUGAACACUGCAGCUAGAAAAAACACUGAAUCAAUACCGAUUGCAUCACACCAGACUUAAUCAGCAUUUGACUGGCCCACACCAACCCAAAAGGCUCAUAUCAGUCA